GAGGCUGUGUGUGUAACGUCAGUUUAGUAAGGGCUGGGUUCUGUCUCCAUGUUCUGUCUAUGGCACCAGUAAUAACACACAUUUCUGGUGAAAUGGAUCGGUACGGGAAUGAAGAGGGUCAAAUCCCAUCACUCCGAAGACGUACGGAUGAAACCUGGAAUGCAUGUGGAGACGUGACAUUUGUAGCGUGUCCUUAACUGCCUAGUCUUCAGGGUUGCCAGGUUGGUGGCUUUCCACCUUGGUUAAAGACUUUCAUCAGUAUAAUAUCUGGGAACUCUUCACUACAUAAUAAUAAUAAUAAUAAUAAUAAUAAUAAUAAUAAUAAUAAUAAUAAUAAUAAUAAUAAUAAUAAUAAUUGUGAAAAAAAGUGAUUACUGUGUGAUUUUAACAUUGCUUUGUUCCAAUAUAUAGUUAAAUAAAUAUAUUACACAGAUUAGACUUCUCUCUUCUGUAAAAGCACAUGAAGAAGUCAGUACCUUAAACCUUAAAACCCUGGAGGCAAAAAGCUCCAUUGAGGUGUUUUGAACGUCUUUGAUUUACUUUUAUACGUUUUGUCUUUGGUGCAAACUGGAGAAUCUUUAUACUGAAGAAAAUACGUCUUUUUUCUAAUCCUAAUCUACAACUAGUCUAAAACUAAUCCCACCUGAAUGGGGGUCUUCUGUGUUGCUGGUUUUUUAAUGGGUUCUUUGUAAGUUUCUGUGGUGUUUAGUGUUGUGUUUUUUUGGUGAGUUCUGAUUUGUGUUUUACAGUUUCUGUAGGUUCUGUUUUAUUUGGCUUUUGGAGGAAUCAGUUAGAUUUGUUUGUGGAGGGUUUUAAGUAUCUUACUACUGACAUCCGAAUUGUAAUUGGGUUCUGUGUGUGUGUGUGUGUGUGUGUGUGUGUGUGUGUGUGUGUGUGUGUGUGUGUGUGUGUGUGUGUGUGUGUGUGUGUGUGUGCGUGCGCGUGCGUGUGUGUGUGUGUGUGUGUGUGUGUGUGUGUGUGUGUGUGUGUGUGUGUGUGUGUGUGUGUGUGUAUACGUGCAGGCUUUUAAAGCUGAAACUGACCCUGUACUUGACACCAAACAGAGUGAACAGAACCAGAGUGAGCUGUGAUCUAUAUAUAUCUGUCAGGGGAGCGGCUGUGGUCGCGUUUAUACACUAAACUGUCACACUACGAUGAAAAGAAGUUCUUUAUGUUCAAAAUAAUAAAGACAAGAUGUUUAUGUUCAGAGUAAAUAUUAGUAGUUAUACUGCAUUAUUAUGUGUGUGUGUGUGUGUGUGU